rnacentral:rRNA from 1 species
CUACGGGACGCUCCAGUGAGGAAUAUUGCACAAUGGGGGAAACCCUGAUGCAGCAACGCCGCGUGGAGGAUGACGCAUUUCGGUGUGUAAACUCCUUUUAUGAGUCAAGAAAAUGACGGUAGCUCAUGAAUAAGCACCGGCUAACUCCGUGCCAGCAGCCGCGGUAAUACGGAGGGUGCAAGCGUUACUCGGAAUCACUGGGCGUAAAGGACGCGUAGGCGGGAUGUCAAGUCAGGUGUGAAAUCCUAUGGCUCAACCAUAGAACUGCACUUGAAACUGGCAACCUAGAGUAUGGGAGGGGGAGAUGGAAUUAGUGGUGUAGGGGUAAAAUCCGUAGAUAUCACUAGGAAUACCGAAAGCGAAGGCGAUCUCCUGGAACAUUACUGACGCUAAGGCGUGAAAGCGUGGGGAGCAAACAGGAUUAGAUACCCCUGUAGUC